rnacentral:rRNA from 1 species
AACAAACGCUGGCGGCGUGCCUAAUACAUGCAAGUCGAACGGGGAAAGCUUUCGGGUGAGUACUAGUGGCGCACGGGUGAGUAACGCGUGGAUAAUCUGCCUUAGAGCGGGGGAUAACUAGUCGAAAGAUUAGCUAAUACCGCAUAAGACCACAAGAACUGCGGUUCAAGGGGUCAAAGGUUUUUCGCUCUAAGAUGAGUCCGCGUAAGAUUAGCUAGUUGGUAGGGUAACGGCCUACCAAGGCGACGAUCUUUAACUGGUCUGAGAGGAUGAUCAGUCACACUGGAACUGAGCAACGGUCCAGACUCCUACGGGAGGCAGAAGUAGGGAAUAUUGGACAAUGGCGGAAGCUCUGAUGUAGCGACGCCGCGUGAGUGAUGAAGGCCUUCUGGUCGUAAAGCUCUGUCGCAGGGGAAUAACACAAUGACGGUACCCUGUAAGAAAGGAUCGGCUAACUUCGUGCCAGCAGCCGCAGUAAGAC